rnacentral:rRNA from 1 species
UACGAAGGGGGCGAGCGUUGUUCGGAUUUACUGGGCGUAAAGGGCGCGUAGGCGGCCUUGUCAGUCAGGCGUGAAAGCCCCGGGCUCAACCUGGGAACGGCGCUUGGGACGGCGAGGCUGGAGUUCGGGAGAGGAGAGUGGAAUUCCCAGUGUAGAGGUGAAAUUCGUAGAUAUCGGGAGGAACACCAGUGGCGAAGGCGGCGAUCUGGGUCGAUACUGACGCUGAGGUGCGAAAGCGUGGGGAGCAAACAGG